rnacentral:rRNA from 1 species
UUUGAGUAAGAUUUAUCGCCUUAUGAUGGGCCUGCGUUAGAUUAGCUUGUUGGUAAGGUAACGGCUUACCAAGGCAACGAUCUAUAGCCGGGUUGAGAGACCGACCGGCCACAUUGGAACUGAGACACGGUCCAGACUCCUACGGGAGGCAGCAGCUAAGAAUCUUCCGCAAUGGACGAAAGUCUGACGGAGCGACGCCGCGUGAAUGAUGAAGGCCUUAUGGGUUGUAAAAUUCUUUUAUAGAGGACGAAUGUAUGGUGUAGGCCAUGUUGACGGUACUCUAUGAAUAAGGUCCGGCUAACUACGUGCCAGCAGCCGCGGUAAUACGUAGGGACCGAGCGUUGUUCGGAAUUAUUGGGCGUAAAGGGUACGUAGGCGGUCUAAUAAGUCAGAUGUGAAAACCUCGGGCUCAACCUGAGGCCUGCGUCUGAUACUGUUAGGCUAGAGUUAUGGAGAGGAAGGCGGAGUUCCUGGUGUAGGGGUGAAAUCUAUAGAUAUCAGGAAGAACAUCGGUAGCGAAGGCUGCCUUCUGGACAUAAACUGACGCUGAUGUACGAAAGUUAGGGUAGCAAACAGGAUUAGAGACCCUGGUAGUCCUAACUGUAAACGUUGUAUACUAGGUGGUGGCAUUUUGAUCGUGUCACUGCCGUAGCUAACGCAUUAAGUAUACCGNCUGGGGAGUAUGCCGGCAACGGUGAAACUCAAAGGAAUUGACGGGGGCCCGCACAAGCAGUGG